CCUACGGGUGGCAGCAGUGAGGAAUAUUGGUCAAUGGACGAGAGUCUGAACCAGCCAAGUAGCGUGAAGGAUGACUGCCCUAUGGGUUGUAAACUUCUUUUAUAAAGGAAUAAAACGAGACACGUGUGCCUUUUUGCAUGUACUUUAUGAAUAAGGAUCGGCUAACUCCGGGCACGCAGCCGCGGGAAUACGGAGGGGGCAAGCGUUAUCCGGAUUUACUGGGUGGAAAGGGGGCGCAGACGGCAAUGCAAGCCAGGAGUGAAAGCCCGGGGCGCAACCCCGGGACUGCUCAUGGAACUGCAUGGCUGGAGUACAGGAGGGGCAGGCGGAAUUCCUGGUGUAGCAGUGAAAUGCGUAGAUAUUAGGAGGAACACCGGUGGCGAAGGCGGCCUGCUGGACUGUGACUGACGUUGAGGCCCGAAGGCGUGGGGAGCAAACGGGAUUAGAUACCCUUGUAGUC
rnacentral:rRNA from 1 species